rnacentral:ncRNA from 2 species
ACAAUGCCCCUUCAGCAGGGUUGAAGAUGCCCACCCUGGCAUUUUCCGGGAAGCCGGUGCAAGUCCGGCACGGACCCGCCGCCGUGAUCGGGGACAAGGCCCGCACAUUUGUCACUGCCCAAAGGGGUGGGAAGACGCGUGGCCGAGAAUGAUCCGAGAGUCGGAAGACCGACCCUGCUCUGUCCAUAUUG